ACAUUUUUAGUAUAAUUAGUAUGAUCGCCUUCCACGCGAUAGGUCAACUUAGAUUGAAAAUGUA
rnacentral:tRNA from 1 species